rnacentral:lncRNA from 1 species
UGAAGAGUGAAAAUAGAUCAUUAGAAGAAAGAACUCAGUAGCCUGGAUCUGCUCUCUCCUCCAGAUAUUGAAGAUAAGUGGCAAAGUGGAUUCCAGACACCAAAGUCCUGUACU